AAUAUAUCUGGCUUUUUUCUAAUUGCGCAACAAAAAUUUUUGUGAAAUGCUUUUGCCAUUCUGCACUGCAGCAAUGUAAUUUCCAUCUUGAACUGAAGCACUGCCAGUGGAAAGAUUUCUUCUGCAUCUUGUGCAUUUUAAGAAAUGGAGGAAGUGGGCUUUCCAGGGCCAAAAGGGGAGUUUCAUCAGCUUCUUCACUGUUUUCUUCUUGUUCUUACUGCAAUUAAAUUAAUUGAGUUAGUCUAAUGGAACUGGAAUGCCUCUUACCAUGCCCACUUAGGCAGUCUUACCUUUUUCCAUCGCAAUAGUACGGGGUUUUUUUAGGCCACUUAUAGUUACCAAGACUAAGAAAUCCAAUAACAGACAGAAAACCAAUCCUUACUGGUUUUUAAGAGAUAGGACUGCUUGAAAAAUUUAUGUGUUUUCAAUGGAAAAGUCCUGUGUUUUUAUUGGAAAUGAAAAUGUAUUUUGGCUGGCAGCUUAGUCUUUUGCAGCAUUAGUCAUAGCAUUCAUUUUUCAGUGAAUCUCAAGCACUAUGGAAAUAGUGUGGACUGUGGGAGUGGGGGAAGAUGUUGUUUCUCUUUACCCUCAUCCCCUUCUCCCGGAUUGUUUUGGGUUGCCUCUACAGGAAGUAGUACCCCAACUUUGAUGAGUGGUUCCAUCACCUCAUGCUGGAGAACAGAAGCCUGCAUAGACAGCCAGAACUGCUCAGUUCUCUACAAUGGAUGAGACUAAUAGAGAGCUCCUGGCCAAACUUAAACCAGCUGUGUUACAUGAACUGCCUCUGCCUGAUCCUGGAGCCAGCAAGGUUAUGGAAAGCAUUAUUGCAGUUUCUAAGGCUUCCUUUUUUUUUCAAAUUCCACUGCUUCUCCAGCACCUAAACACCUACCAGCCUGAGACACUACUGUCAUUGCGUGCAAAAGGGGUUAGUUUAUCAGUGAGCUUAGUUGGGUGAGUGGAAGCAGAUGAAUGCCAAUAGAAUAAAAAUCCUGAA